GAUUCCAUGGUUCAGUGGUUAACAACUUUGCCUUACACGCUGGUACUUCAGGUUCAAUUCCUGGUGGAGUCA
rnacentral:tRNA from 1 species